rnacentral:rRNA from 1 species
CAUAGCGACUAUCGUGGCAUAUCAAUAAGCGGAGGAAAAGAGACUAACUAAGGACUCCCUUAGUAACGGCGAGUGAAGCGGGAAGAGCUCAAAUUUGAAAUCUUCAAGGUUCUACCUUGACGAAUUGUAGUUUAAAGAAGUGUUUUCUGUAGAAGUUUUGGUAAAAGUUCUUUGGAAUAGGACAUCAUAGAGGGUGAGAAUCCCGUAUUUGACCAUUACUUUCCAGCUGUGUGAUACACUUUCAAAGAGUCGGAUUGUUUGGGAAUGCAGUCCAAAAUGGGUGGUAAAUUUCAUCUAAAGCUAAAUAUUGGCGAGAGACCGAUAGCGAACAAGUACCGUGAGGGAAAGAUGAAAAGAACUUUGAAAGGAGAGUUAGACAGUACGUGAAAUUGUCAAAAGGGAAGCGUUUGACACCAGUGUUGUUUUCUCGAAAAUCAAUUACAGAAUAGUAUAUGUUUAAGAAGUUUAUUGACCUUAUCAGGCUUCUGCUUAUUUUUACGUAACUUUUAUUAAUGCACUUUUCGGUUAACAAGUCAACAUCAAUUUCUUUUGUUGUAAAAGGAUAAGAGGAAGGUGGCUUAUCUUUCGGUUAGAAGUGUUUAUAGCCUUGUAUCUCUGCAAUCGGAGAGAUUGAGGUCUGCAGCGUAGAUCCUUCGGGAUUAGAUACAUUUGUGCUAAGUUAUAGCUUUGUAUAGACAACUUGUUGACUAUGAUUAGUCAUUGUAGCUUACUCGCUUAUGCUAUUUUACCUACGCUUAGGAUGUUACGAGACUGUCGAUCUC